AAAAAUUUUAUUGCAUAUGUUCUCUGUCUCAGUCAUCAGUGGAGAAUGAGGGACAGAGGUUGGCUCAGGUCAACAUAUCAAAGCCCAUCAGCUCCUGUGAGCCGUCACAGUCUGACAGCUCUCUCCAGGCUCAGGUCCACAGCCUACAACAGCAGCUAGAGGACUGUGAAAAACAUUAUAGACAUGUGCUUUCAAUAUACCGAACACGGUUGCUCAGUGCAGCGCAGGUAACAUUUUAUUUUUGUAUAUUGUCUUAUUAUCUAAUGUGCUUUCAAAAGUACUGUAGACCCAUGAAGAUGGUAGCAUUUAUGUUCAGAAGCUGUGGUUUUCUUUUGCAGGGUUACAUGGAUGAAGAGGCCAGAGUGGCUCUGAUUCAGAUUGCCAAGAUUAGAGAGGAGUGUGUGUGUUGAGCAUUCACUGUGCUGCUGUUCCUGAAUGUGUGUGUGUGUGUACUACUGUUCAAAAGCAUGGGGUCUGUAAGAUUUUUUUUAAUGUCUUUGAAAGAAGUCUUAUGCUCACCAAUGCUGCCUUUACUUGAUAAAAAAUACAUAAAAACAGCAAUAUAGUGAAAUAUUACAAUUUAAAAUAACUCUUUUCUAUUUAAAUACAUUUUUAUUUUUAUUUUUCUCUAAUGGCAAUGUUCAAUUUUCAGCAGUCACUACUUUAUUCAUUAUUCAGUGUCAUGUAAAAUAAUUCUAAAAUGUGACCCUGGAGCACAAAACCAGUCUUAAGUUGCUGGGGUAUAUUUGUAGCAAUAGCCAAAAAUACAUUGUGUGGGUCAAAAUUAUCGAUAUUUAUUUUAUGCCAAAAAUCAUUAGGAUAUUAAGUAAAGAUCAUGUUCCAUGAAGAUAUUUUGUAAAUUUCCUACCAUAAAUAUAUCAAAACUUAAUUUUUGAUUAGUAAUAUACAUUGCUAAGGACUUCAUUUGGACAACUUUAAAGGCGAUUUUCUCAGUAUUUAGAUUUUUUUUGCACCCUCAGAUUCCAGAUUUUCAAAUAGUUGUAUCUCGGCCAAAUAUUGCCCUAUCCUAACAAACCAUACAUCAAUGGAAAUCUUAUUUAUUUAGCUUUCAGAUGAUGUAUAAAUCUUAAUUUCGAAAAAUUGACCCUUAUGACUGGUUUUGUGGUCCAGGGUCACAUAUGCUGAUUUGGUUCUUAAGAAACAUUUCUUAUUAUUAAUGUUAAGAACAUUAGUGCUGCUUAAUAUUUUUGUGUG
rnacentral:lncRNA from 1 species